rnacentral:tRNA from 1 species
GCCUGGAUGGCUCAGUGCGUUGAGCGUCUGACUUUGGCUCAGGUCAUGAUCUCACAGUUUGUGGAUUCAAACCCCAUGUUGGGCU